UGAGACAGUUCGGUCCCUAUCCAUCGCAGGCGCAGGAAAUUUGAAGGGAGCUGACCCUAGUACGAGAGGACCGGGUUGGACAGACCGCUGGUGAACCAGUUGUCUCGCCAGAGGCACAGCUGGGUAGCUAUGUCUGGAACUGAUAAGCGCUGAAAGCAUCUAAGCGCGAAACAAACCUUAAGAUGAGAUUUCCCAUUCCUAUAAGGAAGUAAGACACCAGAAGGAUGAUCUGGUAGAUAGGUCAGGUGUGUAAGUAGAGUGAUCUAUUGAGCUAACUGAUACUAAUAAGUCGAGGGCUUGACCAA
rnacentral:rRNA from 1 species